rnacentral:rRNA from 1 species
AAUAAUUAAUAGUAUAAUCUGCUCAAUGAGUAUUAAUAAAUAGCCGCAAUACGUGCUAAGGUAGUAUAAUAAUUUGUCUUUUAAUUAAAGACCAAACGAAGGAUUUAACAUUUUAGUUUAUAUAUAUAAUUUAAUCAUUAAAAUUAUUUUAAUAAUUAAAAAAUUAUUUUUAAACAAAAAGACGACAAGACCCUAUCGAACUUAACUUUAGUUUAACUGGGGUAGUUAAUUAAUUAAAACUUUAUUAAAAUUUUUUAAUAUAAGAUCUAUUAAAAUUAAUUUUAAGAUCAAGUUACCGUAGGGAUAACAGUGUAAUAAAAUUUUUAAGAACUUAUUUUAAUAAUAGAUUACAACCUCGAUGUUGAAUUAAUAAUCUAAUUUACGCAAUAGUUUAAAAAGAAAGUCUGUUUCGACUUUUUAAAUAA